GAUCCCUGCUGGGCCUUGGGGAGGAGCAGCUGCUUCCUCUCUUCCCUUCAUGAGAAGUGGGCCUCUCCUUCAUCUCAGGCACCAAUCUGCCACGCACAGCGCACUGAAUGGUGUGGUGAAUGGACAGGGCAACAGAAUGAGCUCUACUCCACGUGGACGUCUUUGGAACAGCACACAAGAGUGCCACACUGGUUGCUGAACCACAGCUGUGACUGCAGACUGAGGAGCCGGGGAGGGAAUGGAAGAUAAAGACUGGUAUGCAGUUUAGAAGUGGAGGACAUCCUUUGACAUGGCACUACAGCCAGGGAAGAUCAACCACUGGUAGUGGCAACAGGGGCUGGAAGACACCACGGUCAAGGCCUGUCUGGACCUGAGGACAUCUGAAGGGACAGAAGGACAAAUGCAAAUGACCAUGCAUGGGACUCAGCCCCCAUAGGGCGCUGGAGUUUCCGUCCCAGGAUCCCCUCUUCAGGGAUGCCUGUGUUUGUUGAUUAUCUGCCGUAUGCCUGGCCGCUUCAGAAUACAAGGAAUAAAAUGGCCUUUAGUAGUGGCUGAGACAGGACCCUGUGGGAUGUACAAUAAGGAGUCUAAGGCCACAGGAUGAGGCUUUCCUGACUCUGUCUCCUAGAGGGCUGGCGUUUUCUAAGGUUGCAAGCCUGUUUUAUUCAUCCUGAUUUCCCUAGCCUGGAAUAGGCCGUGGAUGACAGUUAAUAAACGUUUGUUGUGUGAGCAAGUGUGUAGAGUCUAUGCUGGAGAGAAUAAGGGCUCUUUAGGUCCCAGAGGCAGCCCACCAGGCUCCCUGCUUCUCUGGUCCAUCUCCAGACAGCCCAGCCAGCUAGAGCGGGCUUCCUCAGUGGGUAGCCAGGGCUCUUGCCCACUGGCAGCCCAUCGCCUGUUAAAGACGACCCUCCUUUUUCUUCUCCAAGCUAAAUAUCACCAGUUUCCACAACUCUUUGUUUUAUAGCCCUCAGCAUUCUGGUUAUCCACUCUGGAGAGGCAACAGAAGUAUCCAGUUGCAGUCUGAACAGGCAGAACCAUGGAUGCAGAUGGAAAAUCCAGGUUUGUGUGCUUCGGCAGUCUGUGUAUUCAAACCGUGAUUGUGACAGCUGCUGACAUGACCUCAGACACGCAGGAAGGUUUGGGUUUGCUGCUGAUCAUCUUUCUUUGGUGUUUUCACAGCCUUUACAUAGACGCUUUUUUGAUGUAAAACCCCACGCUGCAGUCCUUGUCAUCAGUGUUAUAUUUCUCCUCAACUCUCCUGGAGACUUCCUGAGAGCUGGCUUGUGGUAGGCACUCCACAGAUGUUAGCUCAUAUUAUUUGCUUAAUUGUUUUAUUAUUUGAAUGAACAAUCAUGAAUUCAGUGUCCUUUAUUGAGCAGGUGCUGUGUUUCUGGCACUGCUGGGUGCCGGAAUUUAGCAAUGAAGAGAAUCGGCCUGGCCCUGGCCCCCAGAGCCCACAGACACUCUGGGAAGACCUGUUGAUUGAAUGAUAAACCCUGGUUGAACUUAUUGUGAUCAGCUCCCCCACCACCAGACAUUUAUUGGGUGCUUUCUUUGUGUUCAACUUGGAACACACCCUCCCUGCCCUCCAGUGCUGGGAUGUGGGAGUUGUUGAGGACGACACCACUGAGGGUGAAAAAACACUGGACUUGGAACCAACUGACUCGAGAUCAGGUCCUAGCACUGCCACAAAUCCACUGUGUGGCCAUGGAUGAGUUCACUUGACCUCUCUGAGCCUCAGUUAUCUUAUCAGUGAAAUGGGGAUAACAAUACAUCCUACAGGGGCAAGAGAGGAUCAAAUAGGGUGACCACACAGCACAACUCCACCUGUUAGUCUAUGCAGCUGCUGGUGACCUGGGAUUAACUGAGAGCACUUUUGCUUUGUGGCCUGAAGUUAACAGUCACUAAAUGGUAGCUGUUGUUAUGCACAAAUUAGAGGGAAGCAGGGGUUACUUCAGGCUAGCACGCUGCACAGGAUUUGGCCAGGCUUUGUUCUUCGAGGAAGGGCAGGGUUCUGAGAAGUGCAGAUUGUGAUGUAGGCAAAUCCCAGGAGGCUGGGACUCCCAGGGCAGGUCUAGGGGAAGAAAACCUGGUGAGGGAGGGGGGUCUCAACCUCAAAGCCUGAAUAAGGACUUCUCUAGGAACAGAGAAGCCACUGGAAGCUGGAUGUGGAGCAAGGAUGGGUGAGACGAAGGUGAGUAUUUUAAUUAUUGAGAUGCAAAGGAUCCUAGAGAGCAUUUUGUCUGACCAGGCCAACAGAGGCCAGGGAGGGAAAGUAGUGAGUCUCCAAGGUCCCACAGCAAGGACCAGGGCCAAGCCUCCCACCUGUGCAGAACCCAGCUCAAAUGACUCCUCAAGCCCAGUUGUGGCCCCACAAAAGGAAGUCCCUAGCACUUUUCAUAUAUACAUAUAUAUAAUUGUUUUCUGACUGUAAAAUUAUGAGUCAUUGUAGAGCAGUUUUAAGUUAUAGAAAUAUAAACAAGAAAAUAUCACCUAUAAUCCCACCACCCAAAGAUAAUCACCAUUAGUAUUCUGAUGCAUUUCUCCCAGUAGGUAUUCCACAUAAAGCCAUACAUUAAGGGCUGGCCCCAUGGCCGAGUGGUUAAGUUCGCGUGCCCUGCUUCGGCGGCCCAGGGUUUCACUGGUUCGGAUCCUGGGUGUGGACAAGACACCGCUCAUCAGGCCACGCUGAGGCGGCGUCCUGCAUGCCACAACUAGAAGGAUCCACAACUAAAAAUACACAACUAUGUACUAGGGGGCUUUGGGGAGAAAAAGGAAAAACAAAAUCAUAUAUAUUCAUUAGAUUGGAAUUGUAUUGUGUAUAGUUCCAUGUUCCACCUUUUUUGUGUGAAAUUGUAAGUGUUUUGUGAGAAGGAGGGACUGUUUUUAAUGCAAAAGAAACUCUAGAAAACUUUUUCCUUAGGAAAAAAAAAAGCACAAAGCCCAGUCUGUGGUGGUUGGGAGGACAUCCUGAGGGCUGCCGGUCCGUCCGUCCGGUGUGAGCUCCAAGGCUGUGGCUCAGAGAAAGACAAGCCUUUCUCGCCUCUCCUGGCCAGGCUGCAGCCUCCUGCCUGUGGGCAAGACCGAGUUGCUGAGUCUGCACUCACCCUUCCUUCCUCAGCACAGGAUGUGUGAUCAUCCACUCCAUCCAAAGGCAGAUGGGGUUGUGGUCGUUAUUGUUUAUUAAUAACAAGGGCAUCUCAGUCUGUGCAGC
ensembl:lncRNA